UCCUACGGGGCGCAGCAGUGGGGAAUCUUGCACAAUGGGCGAAAGCCUGAUGCAGCGACGCCGCGUGGGCGAAGAAGGCCUUUGGGCCGUAAAGCCCUGUCGGGAGGGAAGAAGGAAGCGACGGUACCUCCCAAGGAAGCCUCGGCUAACUCCGUGCCAGCAGCCGCGGUAAUACGGAGGAUGCGAGCGUUAUCCGGAUUUAUUGGGUUUAAAGGGUGCGUAGGCGGAUUUUUAAGUCAGCGGUAAAAUGUCCGGGCUCAACCCGGGCCGGCCGUUGAAACUGGGGAUCUUGAGUGGGCGAGAAG
rnacentral:rRNA from 1 species